GAUGAAGAACGUAGUGAAAUGCGAUAAGUAAUGUGAAUUGCAGAAUUCAGUGAAUCAUCGAAUCUUUGAACGCACCUUGCACCCUUUGGCAUUCCGAAGGGUAUGCUCGUUUGAGUGUCAUUGUACUCUCACACUCUCCGAUCCUAUGGAUUCGGGGAGCGGUGGACUUGGGUGUUGCUGCCUUUCCCUGUGGCUCACCUCAAAUGCGUCAGUGCACCUCUUGGUUGGACAUAGUACGGCGUGAUAAGUGUCUUCGCCGGCACCUCGCAAGAGGGUGGCCGAUCGGGAGCUCUGCGCUUUCAAACCGUCUUCGGACAAUUUCUGACAUCUUGACCUCAAAUCGAGUAGGACUACCCGCUGAACUUAAGCAUAUCAAUAAGCGGAGGA
rnacentral:misc_RNA from 1 species